GAAACCUUAUUAGUAGUUAUAAUAAUAGAUAAAAAAUUUUUAGUGCUGUACCGUUCUCAUUUUAAAUUUUUUAAUUUAGAUUUAAAGAAAAAAAUAGCAACCGGUGCAAAGAUGAACGUAGAAUGGAAACUUGUGGUUUCACUUUAACACCUCCAUCACACCUUGAACAAUGACCAAUGUCUGGUAAAAGUUUUGUCACAGGAAGAACAAGAAGCCCAUAGCAGCAAAUGCAUGCGUUAUACUGAAUAUCUCAAAUUUAUUAUCGUGCUACAAAUGAUGUUUGUCCAGAUUAUCCAUGCAUUUGUGGUACUUUAUCUUAAUAUAUAUUUUACUCACUGCACAGUUCUUCAUCAGCCUGACUCUGUUAUCCCAGUUGACCUUGAUGCCAAUGUGACUCUACAGUGCUUUUUCGCAGAAAACUGCAGCAUGUAUGACAUGUUUUGGUACAAGCAAAUCAAGGGCCAGCAGCCAUGUGCUGUUGUUAAGGUGGGAGCAGUUGCUGAUCCUAUUUUUUCAUAAAGGAUAUAUGAACACUCGCUUCAAUAUCAUCAGGUCAAAGAAAAGACUUUCUCUUAGUAUCAUUAACAUUAGUCACUGGGAUGAGGCGGUCUAUUACUGUGGAGUGGAGAUUUUCUUUGAUAUUGAGUUUGGAAAUGGAGUAUUUUUGACAUUAAAUUUAUCAUCUUUUAACUCUGCAGCUUUAAAUCCAACAGAGAGAGAUUAUCUUAUCGCAGUCGUUAUCUUUCAGUGCAACAUUAUUGGAAUAUUUGCCUUGUGGAUCAUAUGUCUGUGCAUCAGGAUUAAGAAACAAAAGGCUUUAUCUCCAGUUUAUACCAUUUCCAGUCAGCGUCAUAGAGGAUACAUACCUGUCCAUAUUGAAAUAUCUAACGCAAAGGUAAAGUAAUUGUUUUUUGUUUUUUUUUUCUCUCAAAAUUUCUGUUUGUGAACUCAGAAUAUGUUUUAUAAAUACAAUGUUUUCCAAUUUCUAGGAACAAACAUUUCAAAGGAGCUCUAAACCAGUCAUAAAAAAAUCCAUAAGUUGAUGCUUACACAUACUUCUGUAAUUUUUAAUCACUGUAAAAUCAAUUAAAAUCACACCAGACAUAGAGCUUUUAUUUUUACAGAUGAAAAUCUAAGACUGUGGCCUAUAGUUUGCACUAACCUCUUGCACUAACUUAUUUUACAGAGUCACACAUCCAGUUUUUGAUGCUAAUCAAGAUCAAGAAGAUUGAGGGGACAAUGAUGCCCAGUAAAAUGAGGAUCAUUUGAGAAUGAAACAUUGGCCAUAUUUCUUUAAUAUAACAUAUUUGUAACAAUUACUGUAUAAGUACUGUAUAUUUGAUAAUUCAAUAUUGUUUGUUUCAAAUUAACAAUUUGAAUAAAUGAGCAUUGGCAACUUUUUAUGUUCCAUUUGAUGGGGAUUGCAAAAUGAAUUUUGUGGGGGCGAGAGGGUGAGGGUUAAUAAAAAAAUUUAAUCACAACUGUGUAAAUUCAAAUAUGUUGUAUGUACACAAUUUUAUUACAAAAUUAGAUGCAAUAAUGGAAUUUACAGAAAGACACAUCUAGCUAGUUAAUCAGUGGUAAAUCUCUAGACUUGCG